UUUAACAUUUAUGAACUAAUCAAUCUCAGACAGAUACCAUAUGAAGACAGAGUUGAUGAUAACCUCCCGUGGGUCCACCAUCAAGGCGGCCGCAAGCGCAAGACCUGCUAUCCACGGAAGCAACAUGAACAAGUACACUGCAGGGGGUUUAAGAAUACGAAAUUCUGUAUUUUUUUUUAAUGAUCCUUCCGCAGGUUCACCUACGGAAA
rnacentral:misc_RNA from 1 species